GUGCUCACUUCAGGAGCACAAAUACUAAAAUUGGAACAGUACGGAGAUUAGCAUGUGCCCUGUGAAAGCAUGACAACCAAAUACAUGAAAUGUUCCAUAUUUUU